UUUAUGUGUUGAGGGCUUCCGUUUUUCUGUUCUGUAUUUUUCAUCUGCGGGCUUGGGGUUACUGAAAUCAAACGGAAGAGAUCUGUUAAAUUGUCGAGGUUUUGACUUUGCUUAUUGUUUGAAGACCUUCACAAGAAGGCACUAAAAGGGGCAGAAGUAGAAGCCGAUCCCCACCAAAACGAGAUUUGCGUCAGCAACGAAUAAGCAAUAAUAAUAGCAAUUCGCUAACGUUCAGCAUUCUAGUUACAAACAGUCCAUAUUUGUUCUAGCUAGCAAAUUGGUGAUAAUAACUACACCAUUUUGGUCUCGCAAUUAACAUUGAGAUGUUUAACUCUUAACAUUGGAGAUAAACUAUGCUAAUUGGGUUAACUUUAGUUUGUGUACAUUCUAGCUAGUGCGUAUUUCUCUGGUCCAUCGCCCGACAAUAACGAGUUUCCUCUAUGCUCUGGAACGUUCAAUUGAUUUUUUUCAGUUUUCCCCACGAAUUUGAGUUGUUUCAAAAAUAAUUUUGUUACUCAGCAAAGUGUAGAUGUUGCUAGUGUUGGAUAACUUUUGUCUGUACGCGUAGAGUGUCGUUAAUCCAAUACGAAUUUAACGACCAGAUUAACUAUAGUCCGCGAACAUGCGUCGGAUAUGUGCUACUACUUGCAUGCCCCUCCGACGUAUGCACAUGUACCAGAGCUAGUCUGGCGGUAAACAAUGUGCUCAAAAUAAGUUAUUUACUUUAGUAUUUUGGAGACAUGACACCCUGCACAUACAGAUAAGUUCUCCCAACACUUUAGCAGCAUCAUUAUUUUGUUGAGUUAGUACGAAAGUAUAUUAAACCCAAACCAGUUACUAAACAAAAUUCCCCUAUGGGGGAUUCGUGGAACAAUUCAUAACAUGGAUGCUUCGUACCCUGCCCUACUAAGUAUUGUCUUGGUCUUUGUUCCUCAUAUUCUGCAGAGAGACGGCGCUCGGGUUCUAGGGACCGCGAACGAAAGCGCAGGGAAAGGGAACGCUCCCGUUCUCGAGACAGGGAAAGGAGAGAAAAGACCAGUGAGCCAACUCAACUGAAAGGAGACAGUGGACUCACACAGGUCUCUUCGCAGGCUACGCUCCCCCUCCAGGCAGAAGGACAGGCGUGAUGAUGAUCAAAAGGAUUCCAAGGAUAAGUGGAUUAAGGAGCAUCAGAUCUCGGGUGGUUUAUCUGUUAUGAACUUGGAUGCGUUUCAAAUGGUGAAAAGUCAGCCAUUUGGGACGCACCCCUUAUGUGAGGAUAUGGAUAAAUACUAUUGUUGCGUGUCACUAGCUAGGUUUCCAAUCAAUUGGCGACAGAUUUCAAUGUGAAUAUUAAAACGAAUGUACUUGUGCGUGAUAACGUAGGGCACAUAAUAACUUUUGCGGUUAAAUUCCCAUGUACCGAAUCAAAUGUAAAAAAGAUAAAUGGGUCACCAGUUCGCAUCCUGUACAGUAGAUUAAAGUGAUCAAAAAUAAAUCACUGCUCUUUUUUUGUUGAGUGCUCCAACUCCCUUUUACCUCGAAUUAGUCAUGUUUUUUCUUGGUAAACCAUUCUCAGGGUUUCCGUUACAAAAUAAUCAGUAGUGCUAAAAUUCUAACUAAAUAUAAUAUUUGCACGUGCACUCUAGCCAACAAUUUACAGAUACAGUAUGGGUAUAGCCUACUACACGAUGAGAUUAUUAUGGACAAAAUAUAAUUUUUAUUUGUCAAACAGCAGGCAAGCAUCCAUGUCACCAAAAUAAAACCCUCAAUUUUGAUUGGAACGAAGCAUCAAGCUCACCUCUAUGCUUUCACUACCCUUGAAAGUUCAUAGUGGGAGGAUCACAUAACAUAGACUAUCAUCGUGGGACUUCUAGAAAGGAUGGUUAUUUCAAUAUUUGCACAUAAAAGCAUUUCCACUGCCAUUUCUUGCCGAAUUAAUUUUACACACACAAAAAGAUCCAACCUUGUCUGGGAUGGUUUGUCAAUUUGUAAUGUUUAUGGGCAAAUUUGCUGUUUCCAUCAGUACAUUUUUUUAUCCAAUGUACUUUACUCGCAUAAAAAGGUUGGAUGGAAACCUGCUUAGUGUCAAAUGUGUGUAUUGUUUACAGAGGAAGAUAUGCAGGGCAAGACCAAAGAGGAGAUUGAGAUGAUGAAGAUUAUGGGCUUCGGCAACUUUGACACCACAAAAGGAAGGAAGACCGAUGGCGCAGUCAAUGCACAUGCUAUCAAUCUGUCUCAGAAAUACAGGCAGUACAUGAACAGAAAAGGUGGAUUCAACAGACCUCUGGACUUCAUUGCUUGAAGUAGGAUAAACAACAGACUCAUUGAUGUUACACUAGCCUUGUGGUCUCUCUCUGUGACACUGUGUGCGUGUGUGACUCCAUGCACGCACUGCAUAUAAGUUCUGCAAAUACUCAUGCGACUGAAUAAGUAAAUGUUUCUUUAAUAUCAGUUUUGUUUAUUUAUUUUAAGAAUGAGCCUUGUUAACAACAUGCCUGGGUUAAUAUGCUUUUCAUCAGCAUUUUAAGGUGUUUUUGAUUCAGAUUAAGAACUUAAAUUCAGAUCAUGGCCCCUUCUUGUUUUUUGAUUCAUGUAAGCAAACAAAUUGUUGAAAUGUAGUGCUCUAAUCAAACCAAAAUGGAAUGUUAUUGGUCACAUACAAAUAUUUAGCAGACGUUAUUGUGGGUGUAGCGAAAUGCUUGUGUUCCUAGCGCCAACAGUACAGUAGUAUCUAAAAACAAUACACACAAAUCUAAAAGUAAAAGAAUGGAAUUAAGAAAUAUAUAAAUGUUAGAUUGAGAUGUGUAUUCUAAGUGGGAUAGUUUUCAGCGCUGGAAGGUCUGAGAAUAAUAUUUUUGAAGGUUCAAAAUGUUUGUUUUUUUCGUUCACUGCUAUAAUGGUUUCAUUCCGUUUGGUUCCUAGUGAAUGCCUCCCGUGUGAUCUACCUUGCAUGGCCAAAGUUCUUGUUGGUCUGUCUUAAUCUUUCUCGCAUACAAUAACAAUUGCGUUCCAAUUAAAUAGAUUUGAUUAUGGGCA